AAGUGACGGUACCUGCAGAAGAAGCGCGGGCUAACUACGUANCNGCAGCCGCGGUAAUACGUAGGGCGCAAGCGUUAUCCGGAUUUUAUGGGUGUAAAGAGUUCGUAGACNGUUUGUCGAGUCUGCCGUGAAAGUCCGAGGCUCAGCCUCGGAUCUGCGGUGGGUACGGGCAGACUAGAGUGAUGUAGGGGAGCCUGGAAUUCCUGGUGUAGCGGUGAAAUGCGCAGAUAUCAGGAGGACCACUGAUGGCGAAGGCAGGUCUCUGGGCAUUUCCUGACGUUGAGGAGCGAAAGCUUGGGGAGCGAUCAGGAUUAGAUGNCAUGGUAGUCCAUGCGGUAAACGUUGGGCAUUAGGUGUGGGGGACAUUCCACGUUUUCCGCGCGGUAGCUAACGCAUUAAGUUCCCCCCUUGGGGAGUACGGCCGCAAGGUUAAAACUCAAAGGAAUUGACGGGGGCCCGCACAAGCGGCGGAGCAUGCGGAUUAAUUCGAUGCAACGCGAAGACCCUUACCAAGGCUUGACAUGUUCCAGCCCGGGUUAGAGAUAGUCCUUCCCUUCGGGGUUGGUUCACAGGUGGUGCAUGGUUGUCGUCAGUUCGUGUCGUGAGAUGUUGGGUUAAGUCCCCCACCGAGCGCACCCCUCGUUCCAUGUUGCCAGCACGUAGUGGUGGGGACUCAUGGGAGCCUGCCGGGGUCAACUCGGAGGAAGGUGGGGAUGACGUCAAAUCAUCAUCCCCCUUAUGUCUUGGGCUUCACGCAUGCUCCAAUGGCCGGUCCAAUGGGUUGCGAUACUGUGAGGUGGAGCUAAUCCCUAAAAGCCGGUCUCAGUUCGGAUUGGGGUCUGCACCUCGACCCCAUGAAGUCGGAGUCGCUAGUAAUCGCAGAUCAGCAACGCUGCGGUGAAUACGUUCCCGGGCCUUGUACACACCGCCCGUCAAGUCACGAAAGUUGGUACACACCCGAAGCCGAUG
rnacentral:rRNA from 1 species